GUGAUCUAAAACUAUUAGAAGAUAUCACGGAUCGUGUCUUGAAGGAAGAUUCCGUUUUUGUUGUUACUUCAAAGAGAUCAACACUUGAUAAAUGUAAUUUGCCAGUUGGGCUUCGAUUGUUUGUGUCAGCAGGACACUCAGUAUCUGAUAUGGAGAAAGCUAGUAAAUCAUUGAAGAGAGUCGCGGCUUCGCUAUUGACAGAUCAGAGCUAGCAGAAGGACGUGGUUUCAUCAUCUUAAAACUUUGUUGAAAAUAGGGGCAGAAACAUUCUGGGAGUUCAAAU
rnacentral:misc_RNA from 1 species